rnacentral:rRNA from 1 species
UACGGAGGGGACUAGCGUUGUUCGGAAUUACUGGGCGUAAAGCGUGCGUAGGUGGUUUGUUAAGUCUGUUGUGAAAGCCCCGGGCUCAACCUGGGAAUGGCAAUGGAUACUGGCAGGCUAGAGUGCGGUAGAGGGUAGUGGAAUUCCCGGUGUAGCGGUGGAAUGCGUAGAGAUCGGGAAGAACAUCAGUGGCGAAGGCGGUCUGCUGGGCCGUUGCUGACGCUGAGGCGCGACAGCGUGGGGGAGCAAACAGG